CCCAGAGAUACAAGAAGAGGGAAGAAGGAGAGAGGUUCCCACGCAGGUGAAAAUGAUCACCACCAGGUCCUACCUCAGCUCUACUGGUGACCAGACUGUCUGUGCAUAGCCCAUUGCCCCACAGACAUCGUGCUGGAGAAGUUGCUGGCAGUUCUACAUCUUGAUUCACAGGCUUUCUACUACACAUUUUGAGAAGUCCAGAAGUUAUGAGCUACUUAAAGGUAUUCUGCCUGGAAGAUUAAAAUCCUAAAACUGACAAUGAAGCCAAAUAGCACAACAAAUGGAGAAAGCUGAACUACACAGAACAUGGCUACAGAUGGUUAAAUCCAGGCCUCAUUGAUAUAAACACGUGGAACUCUGGGAAGAUGAAGAUAAAAUUGUGAUUGCAAGAAAAUUGCAAAAUUAAUGUUCAGCACUGAGAAAACUCAGGGCAAGAAGCAAAGACAGGACUGUGGAGGCGGGAAUCGUGAGGUAAGCCUGGACUUCAGGGAUGGAAAUGGUUCUGGAGGAAUGAUUUCCUACAUGUCUAAAACUAGUGAAGU
rnacentral:lncRNA from 1 species